CUGCACGAGUUGUCCAUGCAGGCCUUGGGCGAGCUCAUGAGGGGCCUCCUUGAAGAAGACCCCACUGAGAAUUGGUUCAUGGAAAUGUUCCAUCUGCUUGAGCCGUGGAUCUUCUCUGACAAGGAGUGGGAGAGAGAGAGGGCCUUGCAGGCCAGCUCCCAGCUCCUUGUUGCCUAUCAGGAGACAGUCUAUUGCAGACUACAAGAGCCUUUGGAGCAGUUUGGGUCUCUGCUG